AUUGCUUCUCAGCCUUUUGGCUAAGAUCAAGUGUACUAUCUGUUCUUAUUGGUUUAAUAUCUGUUAGUCCUCUAUCAAGGAGAAUACAUUAAAUAGAUUUUUGGAGCAGGGAGAUGGAAUAGGGCCUGCUCCAUCCACUCCAACAUCCACCUGCUUUUGCAGUACUUCCAGGAAGGUCACACACU